rnacentral:lncRNA from 1 species
AAUGACAAAUUAUGUUAAGUCAGUGACAAAAGGGUAAAACCAAUAAGUAUAAAACACAAAAGAGCAUUAUUUAUGUAUUAAAAUGACGUUAAAAAUAUUUUUUGAUACAAAGUCAGUGUAGAUAUCUUAGUUUAUAUUAUAUCAACAAAUAGACAAAAACAUAAAUUUGUUUAUACUACAUCAAUUCGUCUACCAUAGCAUAUGUCUAUGUUCCUAAAAUAAUGUGAAGUGCAAUGCCAAACAUAUAAAACACAAUGAGAAUUUUCUCAAGAAAAAACAAUGAGAAUAUAUACAGUUGUAAGUUGUUUAGACACCACUCAAA